GAGUUUGAUCGUGGCUCAGAUUGAACGCUGGCGGCAUGCCUUACACAUGCAAGUCGAACGGCAGCACGGGAGCAAUCCUGGUGGCGAGUGGCGAACGGGUGAGUAAUACAUCGGAACGUGCCCAAUCGUGGGGGAUAACGCAGCGAAAGCUGUGCUAAUACCGCAUACGAUCUACGGAUGAAAGCAGGGGACCGCAAGGCCUUGCGCGAAUGGAGCGGCCGAUGGCAGAUUAGGUAGUUGGUGGGGUAAGGCUCACCAAGCCAACGAUCUGUAGCUGGUCUGAGAGGACGACCAGCCACACUGGGACUGAGACACGGCCCAGACUCCUACGGGAGGCAGCAGUGGGAAUUUUGGACAAUGGGCGCAAGCCUGAUCCAGCCAUGCCGCGUGCAGGAUGAAGGCCUCGGGUUGUAACUGCUUUGUACGGAACGAAAGUACUC
rnacentral:rRNA from 1 species